CCUACGGGUGGCAGCAGUGAGGAAUAUUGGUCAAUGGUCGGGAGGCUGAACCAGCCAAGUAGCGUGAGGGAAGAAUGUACAGUGUAUUGUAAACCUCUUUUAUGAGGGGAUAAAGGUUUGCACGUGUGGCUGGUUGCAUGUACCGGAAGAAUAAGCACCGGCUAAUUCCGUGCCAGCAGCCGCGGUAAUACGGAGGGUCCGUGCGUUAUCCGGAUUUAUUGGGUUUAAAGGGAGCGUAGGCCGGUCUUUAAGUGAGCCGUGAAAUUUUGUGGCUCAACCAUGGGAGUGCGGGGCGAACUGGAGACCUUGAGUGCGCGGAAGGCAGGCGGAAUGCGUGGUGUAGCGGUGAAAUGCUUAGAUAUCACGAAGAACCCCGAUUGCGAAGGCAGCCUGCCGCAGCGUUACUGACGCUGAAGCUCGAAAGCGUGGGUAUCGAACAGGAUUAGAUACCCGGGUAGUC
rnacentral:rRNA from 1 species